UACGAAGGGGGCAAGCGUUGUUCGGAAUCACUGGGCGUAAAGGGCGCGUAGGCGGACGUUUAAGUCAGAGGUGAAAUCCCGGGGCUCAACCCCGGAACUGCCUUUGAUACUGGACGUCUUGAGACCGGAAGAGGCAAGCGGAACUGCGAGUGUAGAGGUGAAAUUCGUAGAUAUUCGCAAGAACACCAGUGGCGAAGGCGGCUUGCUGGUCCGGUUCUGACGCUGAGGCGCGAAAGCGUGGGGAGCAAAC
rnacentral:rRNA from 1 species